rnacentral:rRNA from 1 species
UUAGCGGCGGACGGGUGAGUAACGCGUGGGUAACCUGCCUUAUACAGGGGGAUAACAGUUAGAAAUGACUGCUAAUACCGCAUAAGCGCACGGGAACGCAUGUUUCUGUGUGAAAAACUGAGGUAGUAUAAGAUGGACCCGCGUCUGAUUAGCUAGUUGGUGGGGUAACGGCCUACCAAGGCGACGAUCAGUAGCCGGCCUGAGAGGGUGACCGGCCACAUUGGGACUGAGACACGGCCCAAACUCCUACGGAAGGCAGCAG